CCUACGGGUGGCAGCAGUGGGGAAUAUUGCACAAUGGGGGAAACCCUGAUGCAGCCACGCCGCGUGAGCGAUGAAGGCCUUCGGGUCGUAAAGCUCUGUCCUAAGGGAAGAAUACUGACGGUACCUUAGGAGGAAGCCCCGGCUAACUACGUGCCAGCAGCGGCGGUAAAACGUAGGGGGCUAGCGUCAUCCGGAAUUACUGGGCGUGAAGGGAGCGUAGGCGGCCCUUCAAGUCAGAGGUGAAAGGCUACGGUUUAACGGUAGUAAGCCUUUGAAACUGUAGGGCGUGUGUGCAGGAGAGGAGAGUGGAAUUCUUAGGGUAGCGGAGAAAUGCGUAGAUAUUGGGAGGUACACCAGUUGCGAAGGCGGCUCUCUGGACUGUAACUGACGCUGAGGCACGAAAGCGUGGGGAGCGAACAGGAUUAGAUACCCCUGUAGUC
rnacentral:rRNA from 1 species